CUUAGAGUAAUGUCUAAGUAUCAUUAAGUGAAUACAUAGCUUAAUGAGGGGAACUCAGGGAACUGAAACAUCUAAGUACCUGAAGGAAGAGAAAGAAAUUCGAUUCCGUAAGUAGCGGCGAGCGAACGCGGAUUAGCCCAAACCAAUAAAGUUUUCUUUAUUGGGGUUGCGGACAUAUCAUAACGAAGAGGUAUCGUAAUUGAAGAGGUUUGGAAAGACCCACCACAGAAGGUAAUAGUCCUGUAUGUUAAACGAGAAGACUUCAGAUAUGAUCCAGAGUACCACGGGACACGUGAAACCCUGUGGGAAGCAGGAGGGACCACCCUCCAAGGCUAAAUACUACCUAGUGACCGAUAGCGUAUAGUACCGUGAGGGAAAGGUGAAAAGAACCCCGGGAGGGGAGUGAAAUAGAACCUGAAACCCUGCACUUACAAGCUGUGGAAGCACAUUUCUUGUGUGACCGCGUACUUUUUGUAGAACGGGCCAACGAGUUACGUUAAGUAGCAAGGUUAAGCACUUAAGGUGCGGAGCCGUAGCGAAAGCGAGUUUUAACUGAGCGUUCAGUUACUUGACGUAGACCCGAAACCGGGCGAUCUACCCAUGAGCAGGAUGAAGCGAAAGUAAAAUUUCGUGGAGGUCCGAACCCACGAGCGUUGAAAAGCUCGGGGAUGACUUGUGGGUAGCGGUGAAAUUCCAAUCGAGCCCGGAGAUAGCUGGUUCUCCCCGAAA
rnacentral:rRNA from 1 species